rnacentral:rRNA from 1 species
UGAGUACGAGCUGCUACGGCAGCGAAGUGGGUGACGUCAAGCUUCCAAGAAAAGCCCUAUACCCGUUAAGGCAUGACGGCCUGUACCCGAAACCGACACAGGUGGGGUGGUAGAGAAUACCGAGGGGCGCGAGGUAACUCUCUCUAAGGAACUCGGCAAAAUGGCCCCGUAACUUCGGGAGAAGGGGUGCCACCGCAAGGUGGUCGCAGUGAAGAGGCCCAGGCGACUGUUUACCAAAAACACAGGUCUCCGCUAAGUCGCAAGACGAUGUAUGGGGGCUGACGCCUGCCCAGUGCCGGAAGGUUAAGGAAGCUGGUCAGCGUAAGCGAAGCUGGCGACUGAAGCCCCGGUGAACGGCGGCCGUAACUAUAACGGUCCUAAGGUAGCGAAAUUCCUUGUCGGGUAAGUUCCGACCCGCACGAAAGGCGUAACGAUCUGGGCGCUGUCUCGGAGAGAGGCUCGGCGAAAUAGAAUUGUCUGUGAAGAUGCGGACUACGUGCACCCGGACAGAAAGACCCUAUGAAGCUUUACUGUAGCUUGGUAUUGUGUCCGGGCUCUGAAUGCGCAGGAUAGGUGGGAGGCUUUGAUCCAUUGCUUGUGGGUGAUGGUGAGCCAACGGUGAGAUACCACUCUUUCAGAGCUAGGGUUCUAACGGUCACCCGUCAUCCGGGGACCGGACAGUAUCAGGUGGGCAGUUUGACUGGGGCGGUCGCCUCCUAAAAUGUAACGGAGGCGCGCAAAGGUUCCCUCAGGCUGGUUGGAAAUCAGCCGACGAGUGUAAAGGCAGAAGGGAGCUUGACUGUGAGACCUACAAGUCGAACAGGGACGAAAGUCGGCCUUAGUGAUCCGACGGUUCUGAGUGGAAGGGCCGUCGCUCAACGGAUAAAAGUUACUCUAAGGAUAACAGGCUGAUCUCCCCCAAGAGUUCACAUCGACGGGGAGGUUUGGCACCUCGAUGUCGGCUCAUCGCAACCUGGGGCUGAAGUCGGUCCCAAGGGUUGGGCUGUUCGCCCAUUAAAGCGGUACGCGAGCUGGGUUCAGAACGUCGUGAGACAGUUCGGUCCAUAUCCGGUGCAUGCGCAGGAAUAUUGAGAGGAUUUCUCCCUAGUACGAGAGGACCGGGAGGAACGCACCUCUGGUGUGCCAGUUAUCGUGCCAACGGUAAACGCUGGGUAGCCAUGUGCGGAGUGGAUAACCGCUGAAAGCAUCUAAGUGGGAAGCCCACCUCAAGAUGAGUAUUCCCAUGGCGUUAGCCAGUAAGGUCACGGGCAGAACACCCGUUGAUAGGCUCUACGUGGAAGCCGGGUAACCGGUGAAGCGGAGGAGUACUAAUAGACCGAGGGCUUGAC